GCAGAUGUGGCACUUUGAAUGCACCAGUUCUCCAAGGAUCACUGAAGUUAAACAAGGUUGUGCAUGGUUACUAUCUGGAUAGGUGCCCAAUUGGGAAAACGCGUUAUGAUAGCU
rnacentral:rRNA from 1 species